AGACCGGACUCGUAAGUCCUGGACCCGGCUGCUUCUACGUAAGUAGAUGAUACUCCGUCUGGCCUUUGGCCCGCCUUCGGGCGUGAACGGUGAGAAUCGGCCCCCAGGGUGAGCCGGUUU
rnacentral:sRNA from 12 species